rnacentral:rRNA from 1 species
CCCCUAGACGUUCUGGGCUGCACGCGCGCUACAAUAAUACGCACAGCGAGUAUCACCGAGCUCGAAAGGGCAAGGUAAACAAUAGAAAAGGUACUGUAAUGGUUAUAGAUCCUUGUAAUUAUUGAUCUUCAACGAGGAAUUCCUAGUAAGUAUGUGUCAUCAUCACGCACUGAUUACGUCCCUGCCCUUUGUACACACCGCCCGUCGCUCCUACCGAUUGGGUGAGCCGAUGAAACUCUCGGAUGUAGGCUAUUCAUAGCCCACAGAAGAGAUUUGAAUCGUAGCGCUUAGAGGAAGGAGAAGUCGUAACA